GUGCGUCUACUCCACAAAAUAGACCGCAUUCUGCCAAAAAAGGAGGAUAAAACACAUCCGCAAGGCUUGCGGUGCGGCAGUGUGGAGACCUGUCGCAAUGCGUCGCGCGUAAGCGGACGCGAGACAUGGGCAAGCGGAGGCUCCCGUGUCAAAGCCGGUUGCAUGGCA
rnacentral:ncRNA from 1 species